rnacentral:rRNA from 1 species
UAGGGAAUCUUCCGCAAUGGGCGAAAGCCUGACGGAGCAACGCCGCGCGAGUGAGGAAGGGUUUCGGCUCGUAAAACUCUGUUAUUAGGGAAGAACAAAUGUGUAAGUAACUGUGCACAUCUUGACGGUACCUAAUCAGAAAGCCACGGCUAACUACGUGCCAGCAGCCGCGGUAAUACGUAGGUGGCAAGGGGUAUCCGGUAUUAUUGGGCUUAAAGCGCGCGUAGGCAGUUUCUUAAGUCUGAUGUGAAAGCCCACGGCUCAACCGUGGAGGGUCAUUGGAAACUGGGAAAGUUGAGUGCAGAAGAGGAAAGUGGAAUUCCAUGUGUAGCGGUGAAAUGCGGAGUGAUAUGGAGGAACACCAGUGGCGAAGGAGACUCUGUGGUCUGUAACUGACGCUGAUGUGUGAAAGCGUGGGGAUCAAACAGG